AUAAUAAAUAGAUAGGCUUUCACUCUCACAUUGCAAAGCUUAUAAAUAUUUCGGAUUAAUGCUAGCAUUGGCAGAGAAUAGAAGAGAAGGAUAAAUAAUAAUGGCAACAACUUCCAAUGAGAUUGAGAAAGAGAAGAAUAGCAGCAGCAACAACAAUCUGUUCACAAUUGCCAUGAAAGGUGAAUGGAAAGCAGUCGAGAAUCUUUGUAAGGAAGAUAUCAGACGUCUAAAACAAAAGAUCACAAAAUCAGGUGCCACAGAUUUACACUGCUAAAAAACUUGUGCAGCUGAUUACCCAAGAGCAAGGAUGUAAAGAAUAUCUCGCAGUUCAAAACGACGCAAGCUAUACACCUCUCCAUGUGGCAACAUUGACGGGAAGUGAGGUUAUUUGCCGUUUGAUGGUGAAAGCUGACCCUUCUCUAAUCGGUGCUCGGAACAAGAAAGGAGAAACCCCUAUCUUCUUCCGCUUUACAUGGAAAGGCUAGAAUUUUUAUGUACUUAGACUCUGUCUGUGCUGCUAGCUAUGGCCAUUCCUAUGCUAGAAGGAAAGAUGGUGACACUUUUCUGCACGCUGCAAUAGCAGGGGAACAUAUGGAUUUGGCAUAUCAGAUUAUUGAUAAAUAUGGAGAGCUUGUUGGAGCCGUAAAUGAGAAAGGUUAUACUACCCUCCAUAUUUUGGCCACUAAGCCUACUGCUUUCCCAAGUGGUAACAAACUUGGAUGGUUAAACAGAUAUAUUUAUCACUGUAAGUAAUUAAUGGCUCAUGAUUUGAAUCAAUUUGACUACUUCAUGUCUGAAUUGAAGAACAAAGUUAUAUUACAACAUUUUGAUAUUUCUUUUGAAUAUUUGACAUCCUUUGGUCACUCAGAGUCAAAACAAUUAACCAAACUCUAAUUUUUUUUUUUUAGUUUUCCAAUUCCAACAUACACCCUGAUAUGAGAAAAUGCCUAGAAUUUGCAAUUUUGAUCGGGUUUGAUCAAGGUUGAUUAAGGUUGUCCAUAUAAUACCCCGUCCCAAAGUACAACGGAAAUUUUCCAACUUUGACCGAGGUUGACCAUUGACCGUUGACUUUCACCGUUGACCAAGGGGUCGAAAGUUGACUUUUGACUCAGAUGGAAUUCUAGGUUGACUGAGGUACCGUUACGAAGUACACGUUGGCACGAGUUCAUAGACUAGUAGCACGUUGAAAACAAAGCUAUGGUUUGAAAGUUAUGAGCAAAACAAGCUGGGGUCCAAACUAUCCAAGGGUGCCGGAGUUGACUUUUUAUUUAUGGGAAAAUGAGCUUUGACUCAUACAUGGUUGUGAAGUGUUCGUCAAUACGAGUGCGUAGACUAGCGGCACGUCCGAUUUGGACAUGUGGUUUGAAAGUUAUAAACCUGUAGAGUUUUUUUAAACACUGUAUUAUUUUAAUAUUAUUUUUAAACAUGUAACAAUGUGCCACGUGUGACUUAAUAAAUGUGACCAUGUGUCACCAUGAUGAGAUGCCACAUGUCAACCAUGCUUAAUACCAUAUUAUUUUAUUAUCGUUAUUUUAUAUAAUAAUAUUAUUUUUAAUAUUAUUUAAUUAUUUUAUUUUAUUUUCUUUUAUUUCUUUUUCUUUCUUUUUCUUUUCUUUUUUCUUUUUUUUCUUUUCCCCCACGUGGGAAAACACCCAACCCCACCCGAGCCUUUUCCUUCUUCUUCUUCUUCUUCUUUCUUUCCUUCUUUCUUCCUUCCCACCGGCCAUCCCUCUCUCUCUCCCGUGUUCAUCUUUCUCCGGCCACCACAAGCCACAUGCGCCGGCCACCGUCCAAGACCACAUGCCGGCGAGCUCACCAGCCAAAUUUGGCAGCCGACCGGCCGGCUACGUGCCCAGAUCGGGACGGUGAAGUCGGCGGCGGCGAAUUUAAAUUUUCCGACGAUUCUGCCAUAUUCCGGCCAACCCAGUCCAAAUUAAACCUCCUUUCCCCCUAUUUUGGGUCUUCUGAUCCCAAAUAUGGCCUCCAAUUUCCAAAAUUCGAAGCGGUUUGCGAGAUACGAGGAGUUGAAUUUCGGCCGGCGCUUCACGGGUAAAUUCCGGCCACCGCCGGUCAAAAUGGGUCCGACGAAGGAGCACGUGUGAAUUGUGGAAUCGAUCCUAUGGUGGAUCAUGGUUUAAUUGCGUGCUCGAGGUGAGUGACCCACCUUUAAAAUUAUUUUGGGGUGAUUAAUUAUAUUUAUUUGGUGUUAAUUUGAUAUCUGGAAUUUUUGCUCAUGUGUGGAAUUUAAAAAUAAUUGUGAGAAAAAUAUUAUUAUAUAUGUAUGCAUAUGUUUAUUGGUGCUAAACGAAAAUUUGGGUUAUUAAUGAAUUUCUGUUUAUUAUUGUGAUAUAAUUGCAUUUAUCAUGCAUGAGCAAGGUGGUUUCAAGUAAUUAAUUAUAUUUGGAUUUUAAUAUUAUUUUUGGACAUGAUUUGAUUUUUAAAUAUUUCAAGGAAAAUAUUUAUUUAAGUUGGUGAUUUCAAUUUUUAUAAUUAUGCCCAUGGAAUAUCAUGUGGUUUAAUUUAUUAUAUUUCAGAAAUAUUUAUGCCAUUGGAAAAUUUUGAAUAUUUAAAUUGGUGGAUUUGAGAGCUGGUGGAUUUAAAAAUUAUGGAAUUUAUGCGAUGAAUUUAUGACGAUGAUUAUAAAGGAAUUGUGGAAAAAUUACGGGUUUAACUGGAUGGAAUAAACCCGGUAUAUUUAUGGAAAAUUUGGAAUUUUGAGAUGUAUUGAUUUAUGAUUUUUAGAUGCACCAUACACGUACUGUUGUUCUGUUUAUAUGUGAUAUGGUUAGUGUGCACACGGAUGUGAUUAGUGCGCGGGUGGGUGUGAGUAGCGCGCAGAUGAUUUAUGGGGUUAUCCUGUGUUUACCAUUGGAUGAGGGUAGGCCGCCCCUCCAUGGCCGGGACGCCUGUUUGCAGCGGCGCGGUGGGACGCCAUGCGACCAUAUGCCAGUUUCUCUCUAUAACCUCCUGUCUGGCGGUACCUCGGGACGCUGGGUACUGUUGGCGCCACUAGUAUAUAGUGGGUGCAUUAAGUGAUUUUCAGAACUGGGAUUUAAAAAUAAAUAUUUUGAGAUUGCAUUGGAAUAAAGAAUAUAAUUAAUGCUGUUUUUAUUAAUCAUUGAAUGGGGAUUUUAAGUUGAUUUAAUUUUCCCUUUACUUAAUUAUUCAAUAAAUUAAUUUCUUUUUUUAUUAUAAAUUUUGAAUGCUUGAUUUAUUAUAUUAUUUGAUAUUUGGUUGAAUAAAUUGAUUCCUUGGUUUUCGGGGAUUAUGAAUAAAGGGUUUUGUGAAAAUGUUUUACAAGGGAAACUUUUCCAACCGAGAGAAUCGUAAGGGUUUUGAGAGAAAAUAUUAUUUCCAAUUAAUUAUUAUUUAUCUACUUAAUUAUCGUGGUAUUAUAAUUGUGUAGUAGAUAGGGUCACUCACUGAGAUGAUUAGCAUCUCAUAUUUUUUUAAAUUUCGUUCCUCUAGGUACCAGGUUUUGUCGGUAUUCAUCCGGAGCGAAUUUGAUCUUCAUCGCUGCCGUAAAGUGAGAAGUCCUCCUCGUCUCCAUUUAUUUUAUUGUAAUAUUCCUUUCAUCCUUAUUGUGUAAUUUCUAUACUUAUUAUUACUUCAUGAAGCUCUGUAUACUGUCUCGGACAUAAAUGUAUUAAUUAUGCACUAAGUUACUGUUAUUUAUUUUGAAGUGCUGAAAUUUGUGGAAUUACAUUGUAGUAAUGUGGGAGGAAUAAGGGGAUGAAUAUAGAAGUGUGUUUUCAGUGCAGGAUUUUGUGGUAAGUCCAUCCCUUAGGGGAGAUUCUGCCGGAUUUUCCAUUGGAGGGUCCGGUAGGGUUUUCCUGGGAUCAAGGCUUGUCUAGGAUUCCGAUGAGGAAUUUUGGACGGGUCCUGACAGACCAAGUAGGUUUUAUGGUUGAUUUUUUAUUGUAAGAAAAAUUUUGUGUUGAUUGAAGUACCAUGGAAAAGUACUCAUCCACACGAGUAUGUAGACUAGUAGUUUGCCAAAAUCAGAGUUAAGAAUAGAAAAUUAUGGUCAAAACAAAAUGUGAUCCGGAUUGAUCAGUGAGUUCGAAGUUUACUUUUUAUCUAUAUGGAUUUUGAUGUUGACUCAUUGAUGUGAUUCCGCCCGAGCCCGCUCCACCGAUAACCCGCUGGGGUGCUGACUCGACACGGAUGAAGACUAGGCCAAUCACAAGAGCUCAAAUUAAGAGAUUUAAGGGAAACCUGGGAGUAUUUAUACAGAGGGUAAUCAAUCUCAACAGAGCUUGUCCAUACUUGAAGAUACAAAGCCUAUUCGAAGCAUCCAAGUGGUGGAAGCUGAUACGAACCCAGGUGACUGUUUUGGUACAUUUUUGGAGUCCGGGAAGUAUGAAAUGGUUCCAAUGAUUUAUGGGUUCAAUACAUAUGCCUAAGAGGUCAUGGAAUCAAGUUAAAGCAGCCUCAAAUGCAAUCAAAAAGGGCUUGUACGGACAGCAUCAAGAAUUUGGCCGAAUUUGCUGUAUUGCUUGCUGGCUUUACUGUAUUUUACUGUAUUAGCCUUUUCUUAU